AGUGAACGCUGGCGGUAGGCCUAACACAUGCAAGUCGAACGGCAGCACAGUAUGAGCUUGCUCUUACGGGUGGCGAGUGGCGGACGGGUGAGGAAUACAUCGGAAUCUACUUUUUCGUGGGGGAUAACGUAGGGAAACUUACGCUAAUACCGCAUACGACCUACGGGUGAAAGCAGGGGAUCUUCGGACCUUGCGCGAUUGAAUGAGCCGAUGUCGGAUUAGCUAGUUGGCGGGGUAAAGGCCCACCAAGGCGACGAUCCGUAGCUGGUCUGAGAGGAUGAUCAGCCACACUGGAACUGAGACACGGUCCAGACUCCUACGGGAGGCAGCAGUGGGGAAUAUUGGACAAUGGGCGCAAGCCUGAUCCAGCCAUACCGCGUGGGUGAAGAAGGCCUUCGGGUUGUAAAGCCCUUUUGUUGGGAAAGAAAAGCAGCAGGUUAAUACCCCGCUGUUCUGACGGUACCCAAAGAAUAAGCACCGGCUAGCUUCGUG
rnacentral:rRNA from 1 species